rnacentral:rRNA from 1 species
GGGUCUGAGAGGAUGAUCAGCCACACUGGGGAUGAGACACGGCCCAGACUCNUMCGGGAGGCUAGCAGUGGGGAAUUUUGGACAAUGGRGGCAACCCUGAUCCAGCCAUGCCGCGUGAGGGAAGAAGRCUCCUUUCAGGGCUAKUAAWYYUCYKUCGGCCGGAUAGAAMCAAGGAGCAAGCUCAUMUCAUCCGCUCAGUAGCAUCUGGCUAUCGCUGUUAGACCAACCGCCAGCGUUCAAUSUGACCCAUGAUCAAACUAU